CCUACGGGAGGCAGCAGUGGGGGAUAUUGCUCAAUGGGGGAAACCCUGAUGCAGCGACGCCGCGUGAGUGAUGAAGGUUUUCGGUUUGUAAAGCUCUUUUAGUAGGGAAGAAAAUGACAGUACCUGACCAAUAAGCCCCGGCUAACUCCGUGCCAGCAGCCGCGGUAAUACGGAGGGGGCAAGCGUUAUCCGGAUUCACUGGGCGUAAAGGGGGCGUAGACGGGUCUGUAAGUCUGAUGUGAAAGCCUGGGGCUCAACCCCAGAACUGCAUUGGAAACUGUGUUUCUAGAGUACAGGAGGGGCAGGCGGAAUUCCUGGUGUAGCGGUGAAAUGCGUAGAUAUCAGGAGGAACACCGACUGCGAAGGCGGCCUGCUAGACUGUAACUGACGUUGAGGCUCGAAAGCGUGGGGAGCAAACAGGAUUAGAUACCCGUGUAGUC
rnacentral:rRNA from 1 species